rnacentral:ncRNA from 1 species
AUUGUGCAGCGUGGCAUCAAUAGGCUUGAUAAACAAUGUGUUAUUUUUUAGCUGAACGUUACCUUCCGCGGUGGUCAUCUCGCCAUCCAGGGGAAUAUCAAGAUGUAAGCGAGCGCUCACAUCCCCAUCCAGUUGCAGAUCGGACAACGCCGCACCCAGAGAUGCUUUCAACGGCGUCGCGUUAAAGUAAGGCCCCACAUCUUUACCCGGCCCCUUAACAUCGGCGUCAAUCAGCAGCUUUUCUCGCGAAUAGUCAGGGAUCGCCGCCUCCAGGUUACUGGCGGUGACUUUACCCAGCAUGACUUUAUCGGCCUUCAUCCACAAGCCGUCAUUGAUAAAGUUAAGGUCGAUAUUCAGCCCGGUCAGUGCGGGCCAGUCGGGUUGAAAAGCAAAGGUGGCGUUCUUGAGCGGCAC